UACGAGGGGGGCAAGCGUUGUUCGGAAUUACUGGGCGUAAAGGGCGUGUAGGCGGCUUUUUAAGUUAGGCGUGAAAUCUCUGGGCUUAACCCGGGAAUUGCGUUUAAAACUGGAAGGCUUGAGGAUCGGAGAGGGCAGUGGAAUUCCCAGUGUAGCGGUGAAAUGCGCAGAUAUCAGGAGGAACACCGGUGGCGAAGGCGGGUCUCUGGGCCGAUAUUGACGCUGAGGAGCGAAAGCAUGGGGAGCGAACAGG
rnacentral:rRNA from 1 species